CCAUUCUUUCAUCUCGAUUUCCUCUCCUCUCUCUUCAUCAUCAAUUCACCAUCUUUCCCUGGCAGUGCCGGCAGUGCGCGAGGUCAUCUUGAUGGGCCGGCGGAGAUCGAUCAUCUUCUCCCUCACACCUGCCCCCUUCUCUCCGUAUUAAGCGGUGGGCAGAGCGGAGGAGGUGCUCGGCUCCCCAAGGCUAUUGGCAGCGCGGAGAAGGUGUUCGGCUUCCCAAGGCUGCUGGCGGCGCGGAGGAGGAGCUCGGCCCGCCGCCCCGUGCUUAUUUGCCGAGUGUUGCGAAGGGCUUCGCCGGGCUGGCCGUUGGCCGCCACGGCUACUGAAAGGCCGUGCGGGGAUCGAGGAGCAGCGCCAGGACGACGGCCGUCGGCCGAUGCCUCGCGAGGCCUACCGGGAGGAGCAGCGCCAAGGACAUAGUCCCAUGUCGGACAGACGGGACAGUUCAAGGCCUUGCCGCUGGGUGUUCGCGCUGCUGCUGGCAUACUCCCAAGUUGUGCCUCACGCUGGGAGCAGUCUCCGCCGAUUUGGCGGGUUGGGAGCCGGCUCCGCCACUUUGCCCUGUAGGACCCGUCGCUGUUCGCGAAGCCGCGGCCAGCAACGGCACAGGUAGUCCCCCCCGCGCGUGUGAAGCGGUGGUGGCGCUCUCCCUCUCUUCUGACAUGAUUUACACCUAGGGUAUGAUGUGACGUUCAAUGCUUUUUCACCCAAAUCAGAUCAAGGGGUUGCAGGCACGCGGCGCAUCAGUCAUGCUUCGGGCGCGAGUGGCUAUUAGGCACGGUCAGAGACGUCGAUCUCGAGCUUUGCACGGUGGUAGGAAGGCACAGUCAGGCCAUGGGCGACAGACGAGCGGUGCCGACCAGAGUUGUGUGCAGUUUCUGGUUCUGGCCGAGCUGAUUAUCUACCCAGGAUACCUGGGCCUUUCCACUUUGGCUGCUGGUUCUGGGUAGGCUACCAUUAAGGUUCAGCUCGCCGUCAUCAGUACGUAUUGAGAUGAGCCGAGAUUGUCGGUGCUUUGCGUUGUUCAAUUCUCCGAGAUUGUACUUCUGGUUGGAUCGUCCUAACUUCAUCCUUGAAGCCUGAACACCAGAUCCAGCUGCGAAUUUAACUUCACCACCGUCGGUUAUGUGGUCAGUGUUCUGCAUUCUAUUAGUGUCCACCCAUUAAUGAGGUAUGUAAUACAAUUUAAAGCAAUAUCAGAGCUGAUGCUUCGUCUAAGUGCAGAACAACAUUGUACUCACUUCUGAAUUUGUUUACACAUUGCUUAUCUUUUGAUUUCUAACUCACCUUGGCGUCGCCUUAGUAAUUUUACAAUAGAGGCUUCUUUUAUUCUUCAACUUGUGGCUACCACAAAGGCACGGCGUAUCACCAUCCGGUCUCAGGAAGAUCAUGGGCGCGGGUAUUUAUCUUGCUUUCAUAUCGUGAGGGAUGGCUUCACCCUAAAUCUCUGUUUUCCUGAAACUUUAUAUAUUCAAAAUAUCCCACUUAUGGUUUAUAGGUCUUUAGAGGCGCUUCUUUAAAUCAUUUGAUUUUCUUAGUCAUGUAAUGCCUAAUAUUAUAGUUAGGACUUCUAAGUCGUUGGAUAUGCAAAUUAUAAACAUCGAUUUUCCUGACAUCCUCUGUUCUCAUGUUAAUGAGAGGUGCAUUUUGGAUAAUUUUCAGGUAAUAAAUGUGUGGGAGCACAAGAGAAAAUUUUGCAUCCCCAUCCCUCUUGCAAAUAUCAUACUGUGCUCAUCAGGUAGUUUGUUUCCAUGGACAACUUCUGGCACGUAAGCUGCAAGUGAUGUAGACAAAGUAAGUCUAUUAAGAGAUAAAUAUAAAAUACAUGUCCCAUGUCUGGAAUUGUUUGGCCUUCCCAUGGUAAGCUUCUACAUAAUUAUAUACGUUGGCGUUUCCAUGAAUGGCAUGUUCUGGCAAGUUUGAAGUUGGAGCGAUAGUGUUAUUGUAAGAAACAGAAUCCAGCACCAUUAUUGAGGUAUGUCCUAGAAGAGUAAGUCCCUCUUUGUUCCCUGCUCUGCUCCUUGCUUAGUAUUACACAUCGGAUUGAAGUUCUAAAUCCUAGAUUUCAUAGAUGUACUGUUAGUGUUCUUUAUGCAUAUAGUGCAUUUCACAUUCUGUUCCCAUGAACAUUUGUGCGACUUAAGUUGUUCCUCUCUGUACUCAACAAACGUGAAUCAGGCAAAAUUUCUAUAUACCUAGAAGCCUUCAGGUACCCUGCAAUCUAAUUGACUGAUUAGACCUUAGAUUAACAAUACACGGCCUCCACAUUUCUUGUGUGUAUUGCAUUCUCCAUGAUUUUACAAAAUGUAAGAAAGCAGGGGAAAGACUCAUAGUUUGCAGGUAUUGCAUUCUGUUUUUGCACUAGGCUCAUAUGUUGCAAUGUACCUGGCUUGGUAUAUAUUGCGCUGCAUGGCUACAAAGAAACACGCUUAUUGUUUUGGACUGUACACUACUGAAUAUUCUCUUCCGGUCAAAUUUUUCUUCCCCUUCAGCAUGUCGUGUCGUAUUUUUCUUCCUUCUGACUGGUGAGUAGAUAUUUACAUAUACCAGUACUAUAACUGAGAUAGGAUUCUUAAUCUAUUCCAGCUAUGUCAAAGGGAAUAAUAUUUUUGAUUAUGUGCCACACCAUGCAAAUGGUUCUGUCUGCAUUUUGCGGGCAAAUAUGAGAGAAAUGCUUUGAAGCAUUGUUGUGCUUUGGUAGUGAUUGAUCUGUGUCUUUGGAACUGCGUUUGCAGUGUUUGUGAAGGGGCAAAUUACUCGGUGGUUUGACAGAGCCAAGUCACAGGAUCUUAGUAUUGACCGAGUAAACGCGUUCAGGAUGUUUCAAGCCCGCAGACACUAAUAAGGCAAGAUAAUGCCUUAUUAGUAUGCCAGAUCCCAACAUGGAGUUCAGGGCUGGCUGUCACCAACUCUGACCCUGCAGUUCAGAAACGGGAUCCUCACAAUGUGGAGACUUUGGAAGACGCGCAAGGAUGCCAUUUUCAAAAACUUGCCCCACACAGACAUGACCUGGUUCAAUCUAUCCUUGAAGAAGCCAAACCGUGGAUGAUCGCCGGUGCUAGGGCGUUACGCCGGCUUCCCCUGGAUGCUAUGCGCCCUGAUGACCCACCGGGACAAAACCUUCAGGACUAACAAAGUUAGCUUUGUACAGUUUUUUUUCCUUGCUUUCUCUGAAGUUUUUUCCUCUUCUUGAUGGUUUUUUAUCUAAUACACAAUGAGUUCGAGAAAAAAGUAAGGCAAGAUAAUACGGACACUUCUAUUUUGCAUUGUAAAUAUCGUUUAGUGGACUAUAAGUGGUGAGGACUUAUUCUUUGGCAUAUUGGCAAGUGAUUCUUUAUGGUGGUAUCCCAUCCUUUUCCCCUUAAUUACGAUGUCUAAUGUUUGAUCU